rnacentral:rRNA from 1 species
UACGGGGGGGGUAAGCGUUGUUCGGAAUUACUGGGCGGAAAGGGCUCGUAGGCGGCCAACUAAGUCGGACGUGAAAUCCCUCAGCUUAACUGGGGAACUGCGUCCGAUACUGGAUGGCUUGGAUUUGGGAGAGGGAUGCGGAAUUCCAGGUGUAGCGGUGAAAUGCGUAGAUAUCUGGAGGAACACCGGUGGCGAAGGCGGCAUCCUGGACCAAUAUUGACGCUGAGGAGCGAAAGCUAGGGGAGCAAACGGG